UCCUGACUGACCGAUAGUGAACCAGUACCGUGAGGGAAAGGCGAAAAGAACCCCGGCGAGGGGAGUGAAAAAGAACCUGAAACCGUGUACGUACAAGCAGUGGGAGCACGCUUAGGCGUGUGACUGCGUACCUUUUGUAUAAUGGGUCAGCGACUUAUAUUCUGUAGCAAGGUUAACCGAAUAGGGGAGCCGAAGGGAAACCGAGUCUUAACUGGGCGUUAAGUUGCAGGGUAUAGACCCGAAACCCGGUGAUCUAGCCAUGGGCAGGUUGAAGGUUGGGUAACACUAACUGGAGGACCGAACCGACUAAUGUUGAAAAAUUAGCGGAUGACUUGUGGCUGGGGGUGAAAGGCCAAUCAAACCGGGAGAUAGCUGGUUCUCCCCGAAAGCUAUUUAGGUAGCGCCUCGUGAAUUCAUCUCCGGGGGUAGAGCACUGUUUCGGCAAGGGGGUCAUCCCGACUUACCAACCCGAUGCAAACUGCGAAUACCGGAGAAUGUUAUCACAGGAGACACACGGCGGGUGCUAACGUCCGUCGUGAAGAGGGAAACAACCCAGACCGCCAGCUAAGGUCCCAAAGUCAUGGUUAAGUGGGAAACGAUGUGGGAAGGCCCAGACAGCCAGGAUGUUGGCUUAGAAGCAGCCAUCAUUUAAAGAAAGCGUAAUAGCUCACUGGUCGAGUCGGCCUGCGCGGAAGAUGUAACGGGGCUAAACCAUGCACCGAAGCUGCGGCAGCGACGCUUAUGCGUUGUUGGGUAGGGGAGCGUUC
rnacentral:rRNA from 1 species